GGAGGCCGCGGGGCCGGGCUGCAGGUCAGAGCGGGCGCGGCCGCGGUGCCCCCGCGGAGCGGGUGCAGGGACGGCUCCGCCAUCGGCGCACCUGCGGCAGCCGCAGAGCCGGGUCCGCGCGGAGCGGAGCGGCGGCGCCAUGGGCACCACGGCGGGGCAGCAGCUCCGAGCUCUCUUCUAUGUGCUGUCGCCCGGCGAGAGCGCGUUCGGCACGCUGGAAGAGGUGCCCGACUACGUAGAGAAGAGCAUUCCGUUCUUCAUUGCUUUUAUUGUGUUAGAAUUUGCUGUCAGCUGGGUUCAGCAGCAUAAAUUGCCAGGUCGGAUCAAUGAUGGCAUAAGUUCUCUUUCACUGGGUAUCCUAUCUCGACUUCCAGAUGUUUUAUUCAGAAGUGUUGACCUAGUUAGUUACAUCUAUGUAUGGAAUAACUACAAACUCUUUGAACUGCCCUGGGACUCACCGUGGACAUGGUAUUUGACAUUUCUGGGAGUGGACUUCGCAUACUACUGGUUUCACCGCAUCAGUCAUGAGGUGAAUAUACUGUGGGCAGCGCACCAGGUACAUCAUAGUUCUGAAGAUUACAACUUGUUCACAGCCCUGAGACAAUCCUUUCUGCAGAGAUACACCUCCUGGAUGUUCAACUUACCCAUGGCUCUUUUCAUUCCACCAUCAGUGUUUGCUGUUCAUCUGCAAUUUAAUCUACUUUACCAGUUUUGGAUACAUACAGAGGUUGUCACUAACAUUGGUCCAUUGGAGUGGAUUCUUAAUACUCCUAGUCAUCACAGAGUUCAUCAUGGUAGAAAUCCUUACUGCAUUGACAAAAAUUAUGGCGGCACACUCAUUAUCUGGGACAGGAUAUUUGGAACAUUUGAGGCAGAAGAUGCUAAAGUUGUAUAUGGCUUAACACAUCCAGUAAAUUCAUUUGACCCCAUCCUGCUCCAGUUACGUCCCUUGGCUCGUAUUUGGAAUACAUUUUGGGCCACACCUGGAUUCUGGAAUAAGCUUUCUGUCAUAUUCAAAGGGCCAGGCUGGGGACCAGGCAAACCUAGACUUGGCCUUCCUGAGGAAAUCCCAGCGGUCACUGGAAAUGAAGUUCCCUUCAAUCCAAGUGUACCAGCUUAUCUUAACUGCUACGCAGUGGUACAUUUUGCUGUAAUAAUGGAGUUGUAUAUUGAUCUUCUUGCUACUGUGACUACAUUAUCACAGGAAAAUAUUCUACUGAGAAUUGCCAUUAUCAUUCUAUCCCUGACCUCUUUUGGAUUUCUUAUGGAGAAAAGACCCAAAGCAGGAAUUUUGGAAAUCAUCCGCUGCUCAGUCUUCUUAGGAGUAUACAAACUUGGCUACUUAAGAAAUCAACUUUCUUUGCUCGACUACGCCUACGAAGUGUGCAUGAGAACUGCUGAAUCACAACCUGAACCUCUGAUUGAUCACCUGAGGUGAGCAAUGAGUCAGCCACAGGAGCACAGGUGAAGGCAAUUCACCUGUGCUGCUGAAAGGGGUGGAGCCUGGCUCCACUGCUCCUAGAACCAUUUAAGAGCUGGCUACCAGGGGGGAAAUGACCUUUUCUGGAGGUUUGCUCUGCUGGAGUUUCAUAAAUGAGCCCAGGAUGUGGGAUUAGUCAUUUAAAAAGGUAAUGGCAAUGUGGUGGUACAAAUUACUGGUUAAUGGCCAAGUUGGAAACCUGGAGAAUAGCACUGUGAGCUAAGAAUAUGUAAUAAACUUAAUUAACUUAGAUCACUCCAGUGGGGAUUUGUUGUGAACAGCAGACUCAAUCCUGCAUUCAGUCCAUUAGCUAAGGUCUUGUUUUCCCUCUGCAUUGCAUUCUGGGGAAUUCAAACUAUGAGCCGGAUUACUUCAUCUAAAGAUAAACAUCUCUGAAAGAGCAAAUAUGACACCACUUGAAUUAUGGAAACAAUGCUUUGGAAUAACCUACGUUCUUUGGAAUUAAUCAGCUAUGACUCCUACUGAAUCAUAGUCAUUUUACAUAUGAUAGAAGGGGUUUGGUUUCAUAUGAAGAUUUGAAAGAUUCAUUGGAAAGUGAAUUUACUUGAUUUUUAAAAUAUUUAAUUUACCUCUAUUUAAAUAAAAUGUUCAUUCAUAACAUUUUUUUUCAAAGUAUCACCGUGUCACAGAAGCCAUGUAAAACUAAUAGGAUUUUUCAGUAUGUUUAUUAGUAGUUAACCAUAUGUGAAAAGUAUUUUCAGAAUAGAAAUAUUUUAAAACAUAUUUGUAGCAAUCUGGUAUAAAGCAACCAGCUGAUAUAUGAAUAUCAGUUUUUCCAUAAGGGUCAUGGUUUGGUGUUCCUAGCAUACAGCUACAUGAGGAUGUAUAGUUGAGGCAAGACAAUUAUUAAAAACAGCAUGAUAAAAUAUCUCAAAAUAGUUGAAAUAUCUCAAACAAGUUGAAAUAUCUUCAGGAAAGUUGACAGAUAUAUGCAUUUUUAUAACGCAGGCUUUCAGUUUGGACUGAGUUAUUUAAGGAGUACACCUGCAAUUGCCAACCUUAGAUAUGAUCAAGCCAGCACUUGCACACAAGUAUCCCAUUGACUAAUGUUACUCACAUGACAAAAUAUUUGUAAGGCUGGGCCCUUAAUUCCUCAUAAUUUCCUGUGGAGGUGAUCUCAGGGGAGAUGCACAUCUUUCAGGAGCUGCUGGAAAGAUGGUUUCUACUAAGAUAGGAAAAUUAAAUACAAAUGGUAAAGGGAGUCUCCAAACAGCAGGACUGGCAAAAAUACUGGAGCUAGGUUGUUUUUCUUUCCUUGUGCUCUUCCAACUUCUACUUGGCUCCAGAACUUUUAGUAGUGUUUAAAGUCAAGUUGCUAAAAACUGCAAGCUCUCUUGCAUGCUUCAAGCUAACAAUAAUACUUGAAUUAAAAAUGGGAUGCUUUUGUUUUUCUUUUAUUCCAGUUUCUUUUAGGAUAGUAAGGGCAUGCUAACCAACUUCACAUAUGAAGCAAGCCUAUUUUUAAUUAAUGCACCUUUUCAGUCUUAAGCCAUAAAAGAUGCCACAGACUAUGUAACUGGAUGUUUCCGGUAAGUCAUCAUUCAGACAUUGAAGUUAUAUUAAUGAAAUUGCAGUGUUUUAAGUCACUCUGUAUUUAGAUCAAGUGACUUUUGCCCAUCACUUUAGAGUCUGAAAUGUUCAACUGAGGAAAUUAGGUGUUUGUUCAAUUAGAUGUACUAAGAUCUGGGCUGCAAAGUAAGGAUGAUACCUUCUUAACUUUAAGGCACGUUUAAAUGAAAGAUUUACUUGUGGAUCAUCUUCACUGUAAAUAAUGAGAAGAUAAAAAAAAAAAAAAAGCCCCAUGAAAGCAAUGAAAGUAAUUAUAUUUAAAGUACUUAUUUAAAAGUUUAAACAUUUACUCAUAACCUGGUAUAAGUAAAUGUACAAGUAAAUUUAAGAAAUAAGUAGAUACAAUUGUAUACCCCUGAAUACAAUCUCAUGAUUAACAUAUUUGUGCAGCCAGGAGUUCUACUGUUUUCUGACCAAAACUUACCAUAUCUUUGCCUGAAUUUUCCCAUCUGUGGGAUCACAGUGAUGGUAGUAAUGAUUGUGUCUCUUACCAUAAGUGAAGUACGAAAUUUGGAUUGUUUGAAUAAAAAAUUAUUAGACAUUUAAGAAAAUGGCAGAAUCUGAUUCCAGAGGUACAACAUGAUCAACUAAAGUUUUAAUUUACUUCUGAAGUUGUACACCUAUACUUUAAAAAUUUGUAGCAGUGACAUCAACAUUACCUCAAAAAAAAUUGAGGUGAAUUUAGUGACAGUAGUAUAAUAAACAGAAUAAUUAGUUAAUA